rnacentral:lncRNA from 1 species
GCCCCCGAUGCCGCAGGAGCCCUUCAUGGAGCUGGAGGAGGUGAACUGGCGGCUGCAGGUGCUCAUGGUGCCGAGGAGGGAGACAGGCCCCAACAGCCCCUGCUGGAGGCUCCACUGCUCUUCCUGGGAUCAACUGUUCCUAGAAGAGAAGCAGGACCUCUCUCACCCCACCCCCAACCUUGACUGUCACCAAAGAAGAAGCCAGAGAGGGGAGCCCCCCACUACUGUGGCCUAGGAGCUUGGAAGACAAUACUGAGACAGACACCUGUGCUGUGGGCUCCCCAAAUCUGCCAGCAAAGGACUCUCGAGGAUGGAUCAGGAAUAGAAGCUCCAGAGCCCAGGACAUAGGAACAGCUUUACUUUCCCUUUCAUUUGAUUCAGUGGAACCCAAAAGAAACUCCUUCCUCCCCCUGCUCCGAGGGGAAUCCAAAAGAUAAGGAUGGCAGGGAACCAAUGACAGAUCAGUCCAUGCACAUAAUCUUAAAAGGCACUUCUGCAGCCCCAUCCCAACCCCACGCACCAACUCCAGAGCUCUAGCAUGGAAUAUAAGCCUGAUCCCCCACACCCGUUCUCAGAACCGUGGCCUAACCUGGAGCCUGAGGCCAACCUCUCUUCCCCUGCAGUCAAGGACUCAGUGACCAAGGAGCUGCAAACAGCCCGGCCAAGCAGGGAGCAGACUUAGAGGACACCACACUCCCGUCCCCUCCCUGA